rnacentral:lncRNA from 1 species
CCUAGUCAAAGUUUUAUGUAGCAACAUAUCCAUUCCAUAAAACAUUCCUCCAAAGAGGCAUUUUAGCCAACACAGCCAUUUCUCAUGGCAUUAAAUGUACAUGCAUAUAUAUUUACAUUAUAUGUAUAUCAUCAUCAGAUUAGUUUGUUGGUAUUGAUGCUUGUGCAUAUGUGUGUAUAAACAUAUCAUAUACAUACAGAAAUAUAUUUUAUAUAGAUAAAGUAUAUAACUCUAUAGAUAAGGUAUAUAACUCUAUCUAUACGGUCCUAAGAAACAUGUAGCCUCAUAUGAAGGCCACAGAAUUUCCCUGCUAGAAUUAGAUCUCAGUUUUGAUAAAGACUCAUUCUACUCAAAUUAUACACGGAAGCCUAAAUCUGCAUAAGAAGCACAAGGAAUUCCCUUCAGUCCUGCCAGUCUCUGUUCUGACACAGAUUUAUGGAAUUCUCAGGCUCUGGCAUUGUGAUGCUCCACUGUACAUUUUAAUGAUUCUCUGGUGGCUGGAACCCAGCAGUAACAAUUCAAGUCAGUAAGUGGGGCGGCUCUACUCUAAACUUCAUAGAACAGAGUCAUGUUUCCUUUAGCCCCUGGGAGUUCAGUUCAGGAUUGGCAAGACGUUUUGGGAAUGAUUGCCUGAAGCAUCCAUGAGGUUCCACUCCAGGCUGUCUAUGGGUGAUUUACAGUGACAGUGUAUCUAGGUCAUGGAAGUUCUGGCACAACACAGGCUGAUCAGCUGUCAGAGGGCAGCAGGCAAGGCCAGGUCAGAGAAGCAUACUAAAGAAAGACAAAAUUUUGCUUGGUGGUGCAUUCUGCUAUGCACCUGUCUAGAGGACAAAAAGAAAAACCUUAUAUCACAUCUUUCAAGAGAAGACCAGAAUGGUUUGUGAUUCAGGAGUUGUUCGUACACUCUUCUCUUUCAGAGAGGUGAUUUUCUUCAAGCCAGAAGAAGGUAUGAAUUCCUCAAAAAGGAAGAGAGGCAGACACUUCUCCUCAGGGAUGAGAUUAAGAUCACUAUUUGCAUCUGAAAAUCCUAAUUUUCCCUCAGUUGAAAGAAAUAUAACAGGUCCAUUAAGUACCUACAUCAUGAAAAAUAAUUAAAAAUUAUAUUAAUGAUUUCAAGAUUGUCUCCUUUGCUACAGAGAAACACACUGACAUGUACAUUCAGACCAGAUAAACACACCUUUAGUUAGGUGUUUAACACUAAAGUAGUGUGUCCCUUGGGUAUUAGUCCCUGGUUUAAGUGGGUUUAUUUCUGACAAGAUACUGCAUACUCUUAUUCAAAAUGACCUCUUUUCUAACACAAAUAGAAUGAAGAAAGAGAGGGGGAGAAAAGGAAAAGGUGACUGCUCUUGAAGAUCACUAGACCUCCUCAGACAUAUUCAAAUCAGAAGAGUGGUGCAAUAAAUAUUGAAAUAUUUGAUGAGGAAAAAAUGAU